rnacentral:misc_RNA from 1 species
UACGGAGGGUGCAAGCAUUGAUCGGAAUUACUGGGCGUAAAGGGCGCGUAGGCGGCUUGAGAAGUCAGGUGUGAAAUUUUGGGGCUCAACCUCAGAGCGGCACUUGAAACUUUUGAGCUAGAGUACAGUGAGGGAAAACGGAAUUCCACAUGUAGCGGUGAAAUGCGUAGAUAUGUGGAGGAACACCGGUGGUGAAGACGGUUUUCUGUGCUGAAACAGACGCUGAGGCGCGAAAGCAAGGGGAGCAAACAGG